rnacentral:pre_miRNA from 1 species
CGUGUUCACAGCGAGGUCCUUGAUUCGUGUUACAAUAAUUAAGGCACGCGGUGAAUGCCAA